UACCAGCACCCCGAGUGGUCGGGACGUUUUAUUGGGCCUAAAGCAUCCGUAGCCGGUUCUACAAGUCUUCCGUUAAAUCCACCUGCUUAACAGAUGGGCUGCGGAAGAUACUAUAGAGCUAGGAGGCGGGAGAGGCAAGCGGUACUCGAUGGGUAGGGGUAAAAUCCGUUGAUCCAUUGAAGACCACCAGUGGCGAAGGCGGCUUGCCAGAACGCGCUCGACGGUGAGGGAUGAAAGCUGGGGGAGCAAACCGG
rnacentral:rRNA from 1 species